CAAUGAGGAUGUGUUCGUUGAUCUCACAUCUCGCUUGAAGAAGUGAGAAGGAAAUCAACCAAUAACCAGAUUUUGCUACUCCAUUUUGUAAAAUAGGAUCUCCAGAGUGUACAGUUAGAAGAAACAGUAAUUUGAUAUUAGAAUGAGGAGAUGUACCACUAGGUAGACUUAUGAAUUUAGCUCCAUAUUGAAUGGAUGUUAUUCCUUUAUUCUCAUGACUAAGG
rnacentral:lncRNA from 1 species